rnacentral:lncRNA from 13 species
CAGUUUCUUCUUGCAGAAACCACAGAACAGAGUCUUGCUCAUAGUCCUUGCUCUCCUUCUGCCUUCUCCUGACUGGCUUUGGUGCUUCCCAUUUGCCCUAUACUACCUCUCACUCCCCCAUUUUGGUGGCAUACCAUGUCCUCCUGGGAACUGUGUGGUGGCUUACUCCUGUAACCCCCAGCACUUUGGGAGGUCGAGGCGGGUGGAUCACCUGAGACCAAGAGUUCAAGACCAGCCUAGCCAAAAUGGCAAAAUCCUGUCUCUAUUAAGAAUACUAAAAUUAGGAGGACUCAAGAUGGCGCUGUGAGAACAACCCAGGAUUGGAGCUCUUCUCGUUGAAUCUGCAAACGACCUUUAUUCAAUUCUGCUGAACUCGGAAAAAUGUAUAUUAAAUUUUAUUGCCUGGAUCUGGGAUAAGUCCUGAUAUUUCACAGGUAAAUAAUAUAUAAAACUCAUGCUUUAGAAUCUUACCAUCUUUAAUGUAAACUACUAAAUAGGACACUGUAUUGGCUACAUCACCAGUGAUCUCUCAAUUUCAUUGCCAAGUAUAUUCUCUAUGUUGUCAUUAAGUUAUUUUAUUUAAACACAAAUUUCACCAUAUUCCUUCUCUCUUUAAUACUACUGCUACUAUAACUAAAAAACCCAAUAUUGAUCUCUUAUUUGUUCCAUAUUUCCAGAGAUUAGUCUCUAAAUUUCUUAGAGCACAGAAGGAAGGUCUUUCCCAAUUUUCUAACCUACUACUUUCUCUAAACUUUGGCUUUUUUGUCAGUAAAACAAACAUAAAAUCUCCUUAUGUUUGAUAAUUAAAUGCUAUAAAACAUAUAAUUCAAUUGAGUGUCUUCCAUAAGUGUUCAAUGAAUGAUGGCUAUUUAUUCUGCUUUCAAUCUAAUAUUAUUAUGUUUAUGUAGUUACUUAUUUUACCAUCACUGCUAUUAGUACACUUUGGCUGUUUUUAUUCUCUACUAUUUGUUAACAAUGUCUUCAUUUUCUGUUAAAAGUGAACUUGCCAUAAUCUUGACAAAUUGCGCUAUUUAUUUUAAAAGAAUUUUCACGAUAUUUCUUCUGAAUUCUUUUUCCAAUCCUCUUUUUGUGUUGUGAUUUUUAUUCAUCUUCAAGUCAGUUCAAAUAAUACUUCCUCCAAAAUGAGAAGAGAUUCUCAUUCUGGAGGCAGAGCUAGAUAUUCUAAUAUUUAGGACCCCACAGUGUUUUCCCUUCUAUCUCUAUAAUAUUGUUUAUGAAGCUCUAUUGUAAUUUAUUUAUAUUCAUAAUGUGUGUAUAUUUU